rnacentral:rRNA from 1 species
AUAUCAGUCAUGCAUAGCAUAUCAAUAAGCGGAGGAAAAGAAACUAACAAGGAUUCCCUUAGUAACGGCGAGUGAAGCGGGAAGAGCUCAAAUUUGAAAUCUUCAAGGUUUUACCUUGACGAAUUGUAGUUUAAAGAAGUGUUUUCUGUUGAAGUUUUGGUAAAAGUUCUUUGGAAUAGGACAUCAUAGAGGGUGAGAAUCCCGUAUUUGACCAUUACUUUCAGCUUUGUGAUACACUUUCAAAGAGUCGGAUUGUUUGGGAAUGCAGUCCAAAAUGGGUGGUAAAUUUCAUCUAAAGCUAAAUAUUGGCGAGAGACCGAUAGCGAACAAGUACCGUGAGGGAAAGAUGAAAAGAACUUUGAAAAGAGAGUUAAACAGUACGUGAAAUUGUCAAAAGGGAAGCGUUUGACACCAGUGUUGUUUUCUCGAAAAUCAAUUAAAAAGAGUUGGAUUUUGUGUUGUAUUGACUUUAUCAGCUUUCUUCACUCUCUUCCAGCUUUUUUUAAUGCACUUUUCGUUUAACAAGUCAACAUCAGUUUCUUUUGUUGUAAAAAGGUCAUUGGAAGGUGGCUUUCUCUUCGGAGAAAGUGUUUAUAGCCUUUGACUCAUGCAAUCGGAGAGACUGAGGUCUGCAGCGUAGAUCCUUCGGGGUUAGAUACAUUUGUGCUAAGUUAUAGCUUUUCAUAGACAACUUGUUGACUAUGUUUAGUCUUGUAGCUUACUCGCUUAUGCUAUUUUACCUACGCUUAGGAUGUUGAACUCUAUCACACACAG